GUUUAUUUCAUAUUUUUCAUUCCUAUUUAAGCAACACAGGUCCCAUGCACUCUGUAAACACUUUUUUUUCAAUUCUUUGUUUUUAUUAUGCAUAAAAUUACAUACAAGCCUAUAUGGCCACAAGAGUGGUAACAAGCAUUACAACGACAUACUUUGUCAUGGCAUUUGAGUUAACUGCACAUGAUUUUAUAUUUGAAAAUGAACAAAAGUAAAUUAAAUACAAGAUUAUGUGGAAUUACCUCUAUACAUUAAUAUAUUAAUUUUAAUUAAUACAUUUAAAUUUUAUCAAUUAAACUGCAGAUUAUGCAUGACAGAAAAUAAAAUUAAGCUUGAUUAUCUAAAUCUGUAGUGAGCGAGCAGAGCUAAGACUAAUAUUAGGAUGGUAUCAAUAGAUUCAAGUUUGCACGUUUACCACCCUACAGCUCUAGAAUCAAGUAGGAGACAUCCAUAUUGAGUAAGAGCUUUUAAAGUUGUGAUUGCACCUAGGGUAUGCUAAAUUGAUUAAUACAAAUAAAACGUUUAUCAAUGAAAAACAACAGGAAAUUAGUAAAGAGCAUGUUACUCUAACAUUUAGCUACCCUACAUAUAACAUGUAGUAUAUGGCUUCACUUGGUGCUCAACCUAUCCCCAUUAUAGGGAAUUUACUGUCCCACAUUGCAUGGAUCUGUGAACCAAGAGCCGGAGGUGUCAGCAGCUGACCUGGCAUGUGUAUAUGCUUUCCUCCCUUCUCCUCAACUUUCCGCUUGUCGCCCCCAUGUGCAUAGGAGCUGUAUAGCUGUGUAGCUUUCCGGCUCACUGCUUGCCUGCUCGUUGCCGAUCUGUUCACAGUUUGUCUUGCGGUGUGUGUAAGCAGCCGGCGCUGUCUCAGGCGUAACGGGCCUCUGGCAAAUACUGCUGGGCUGCCUAGUGUGUAACAGGAUGGUUGUGUGGGAGUCGUCACAGUCUCAGGUAUUGACUUUUUGGCCCUUAGCUUCUACCAAAUUGCAUCUAAGAGGGCAUCCAGGCGCUGGAGAGUAGAGGUCAUCACUCCUUCUUUGGUGAGGAUACCCGCAGCGUCCGCCAUCUUAGGGAUACUUUUGACGUUAAUGUCGGCUUCCGUAACACGCUUGGGGCUCUGCCUGCAUCUAUCCAGGAGAGCGGACGCCUCUCCCCUCAGCAGCGCCUGCUAGGCCUCAUUGUACACUGGCUACUUGAUGGAUUUAGAGGACUGCAGGGCAUGUUCCCGAUCGCUCUGUCAUGUCGUAAGACUAAUAGCUUAGAAAUAGUUGCUGAAUUAGCUCAGAAAUUCAAUUUGUACAGUGAAUCUCAGGGUGCUCCCCAGAAACACAUCUAUUCGCCAUGCUGUUCAGGCCCCGCCCCCUGUAAACACCUUUAAAGUCAUUUCAAAUAUUGUUUUUACCUAUUUAUUUUAUCUUUGAUUCUGUUUUUAUUGUUUUUUUAAAUAAAAGUAUUUUUUUAU